UACAGAGGGUGCGAGCGUUGUUCGGAAUUACUGGGCGUAAAGCGCGCGCAGGCGGAUCCUGCAAGUCCGAAGUGAAAUCUCACCGCUCAACGGUGAGGCUGCUUUGGAUACUGCGGAUCUGGAGACCGGUAGAGGCUGGUAGAAUUGCAGGUGUAGCGGUGGAAUGCGUAGAGAUCCGGAAGAACACCGGUGGCGAAGGCGGUCUGCUGGGCAGUAGCUGACACUGAGGCGCGACAGCGUGGGGAGCAAACAGG
rnacentral:rRNA from 1 species